rnacentral:lncRNA from 1 species
GAGUGUAAGCUGCUAUAUGAAGGGAUCCACAAGACGAAUAAUUAAGGGGGACCUCUGAUCAACAGCCAGCAAGGAACUGAAUCCCUCAGACCCACAACUCACAAGAAACUGAAGCUGAAGCAGAUUCUUCCUCAGUCAAGCUUCAGGUGCCCAGCUGUAUUGGUAGAGGAGACCAACCACACCCUCCACAGCACAGCACCUGGAGAGGAACUGCUGCCAUGACCAUAGAGGACACCCUCUGGAUACAAUGCCAGACUUGAUGUGGGACUGACCAACCUAUGGACCCCAGGCACCACCACCCAGACCUGCUCAGCACCUGAAACAUUCACAGCCGUGGAGAGAGAACUGUUCACUGCUACCAUCCACACUUCUGGGCCCCUUCAGCAGCAGGGUGACAAGGAAGAGGGAAAUCGACUUGGAAAAGAGGGGACCUCUGACCCAAGAGUUCGGUCAAUGCAUAUGUUGGCAGCCAGCUGCACAUCGCACCAAAUAUGAACUUCAAAUAGAAGAAAGCCUCAUUUGGAAGAAAGCUCAUGCACAGACUGUAAAUAUUUCAGAGCAGAUUGUGUCUCUGUAGAUUAACAAACAGUUUAUUUUUCCAGUAUGACAAUGUUGUGACAAGAUCAGAAGCCAGCUUUCUCACCAUUAAAUCAAAGUCUUAUCAAUAUAUGGAGACUUUUAUGGAAAGAAACCUGAAAUUACGCAGAAAUGCCUUCCGCAAGAAGUGGCUAGUAUGGUGGCUUCAAGAACAGUGACAUUUUUCAGUAUGUCCGUUGUUCUAAGACGUUAGUACAUCACAAUUACCUAGAAAACUUGUUAAAACACAGAAGUCUGGGCUCCCCCUCUUGGCCAACCCCCAUUCCCAGAGGGUUUCUGUUUCCAUGGGUCUGAAAUACCACCUAACGAUUGGCAUUUCUAACAAAUUUCUGCAUGAAGCUGCUGGUCUGAGGACCACACUUUGACAACCAGUGCACUACAUUAAGCUAUCUGGAGAAGCUGCAAAUGCAGAUGAAGAAGCUACAAAUUUUUCUAUGUCAACAAAAAUUGACUGAUGAGGGUGACCUUCGGAUCAUGUUUUUAAUGUUUAUGAAACUGGUCUCAUUAUCAGAAGUAAAUGGCUUCAAGAACUUCAGCCUGAGGAAGAAAACAUGAGUCCUAGGCAUAUCAGGCUACAACCAUGUUUGGAAUGAAUCUAGGUGCAAAUCUCAGUGGAGAAUUAACUGUACCAAUAUUUUAAUUAGGAUUACUAAUGUUUUGUUACUUCCUGAUUACAAGGUUCUAUAGGUUUUGAAUGAUCCACUGUAAUCCUGUUUCUUUUCCAUAAGUCGUGUAGUUUUUAGCAUGUAAUUAUGCAGACCAUAAGGUUUUUCAGGAAUACUAAUAUGGCAUUAGAUUAGAAAUGCUAUAUUAAAAAUUCUUAUUAAAUCUACUGAUAGUAACCAAAAAAUAGAAGAUUCAGAAGAACUAGCAAAUGUGGAGAGAACGGAUGAAAUGGAAGCAGUGUGAACCUAGUGAAUACUUGCCAAGCUGUAUCUCCCCUGAAUUUGUCAAAACAUCAUCUCCAGCAUCUGAGCUAGACCAACCCUCAGUGCUAACAUUGAUGUGAUUAAAGAGUCUGAACUGGGAGCAGAAUUCCUUCAGGUAUUUUGUUAAUAAAAUAAAGCUCUCCAUCUCUCCUUAAAUUAAAC